rnacentral:misc_RNA from 1 species
GAUGAAGAACGUAGCGAAAUGCGAUAAGUAAUGUGAAUUGCAGAAUUCAGUGAAUCAUCGAAUCUUUGAACGCACAUUGCGCCCGCCAGUAUUCUGGCGGGCAUGCCUGUUCGAGCGUCAUUUCAACCAUCAAGCCCUGCUUGCGUUGGGGUCCUGCGGCUGCCCGCAGGCCCAGAAAACCAGUGGCGGGCUCGCUAGUCACACCGAGCGCAGUAAUACAUCUCGCUUUGGGCGUGCGGCGGGUUCUUGCCGUUAAACACCCCCUUUUUACCAAGGUUGACCUCGGAUCAGGUAGGAAUACCCGCUGAACUUAAGCAUAUCAAUAAGCGGAGGA